ACGUCGGUAGUGCAACGGUUCACCACGCGCUCUCAGAUAGAGUGAAAUGUGGGUUCAAGUCCCAACUGACGCG